rnacentral:lncRNA from 13 species
GAAAGAGGAGGGGCCUCAGAGUCUUGCUCUGUCACCCUGGCUGGAAUGCAGUGGUACAAUCUCGGCUCACUGCAAUCUCCGCCUCCCAGUUUCAAGUGAUUCUCCUGCCUCAGCCUCCUGAGUAACUGGGAUUACAGUUCUCCGGGAUUUGAUUUGUUGCUUUGUAAAAAUACCUGCUGGAGGUAAUUCGAGAGGUCUUUUAACUGAUAAACGGAUGACUUUCAAAUUGAGAUCUUAAAAACCUGAGUGAAUAUGCAAGAAAAUGAACUGUUAUUUGAUAUUUUCUCUUCCUUGUUUGCCAUAAUUAUUUAGGCUUCUCUGGUAAAAAUAAGUGGAUAUUUUUGGUAACUACUUAUAUGUACUUUUCAGCUUGAUUUAGUAUAGCACUUAAAUGAACGCUUUAGCCGGCUUUCAUUUUGGGUGUAGAAGUUAAUUAUUCAGCCUUUCUGAUAGCAAAACAGGAAGAAUACAAUAACA